rnacentral:misc_RNA from 1 species
AAGUCGUAACAAGGUUUCCGUAGGUGAACCUGCGGAAGGAUCAUUACUAAAUCCAAUUUACCCCAACCCCUGUGAACUUGUAUUGUCUGUCUUUGGGGAGUGAGAGAAAGUAACGUUUUUUUCCUCCCCAUACUUAUUAACUAAACAACUAUUUUAACUUUUCGUUUUGGAAUAAAUUUUUUUAUUAUUUAUAAUAAUAAAGGACAACUUUUAACGGUGGAUCUCUUGGCUCGUG